GUGACGGCGGGCGUCUUCACAUGCAGUUCGAGCGGUAAGGCCCUUUUUCCGGGGUACACGAGCGGCGAACGGGUGAGUAACACGUGGGUGAUCUGCCCUGCACUUCGGGAUAAGCCUGGGAAACUGGGUCUAAUACCGGAUAUGACCUCCUAUCGCAUGGUGGGUGGUGGAAAGAUUUAUCGGUGCAGGAUGGGCCCGCGGCCUAUCAGCUUGUUGGUGGGGUAAUGGCCUACCAAGGCGACGACGGGUAGCCGACCUGAGAGGGUGACCGGCCACACUGGGACUGAGACACGGCCCAGACUCCUACGGGAGGCAGCAGUGGGGAAUAUUGCACAAUGGGCGAAAGCCUGAUGCAGCGACGCCGCGUGAGGGAUGACGGCCUUCGGGUUGUAAACCUCUUUCAGCAGGGACGAAGCGCAAGUGACGGUACCUGCAGAAGAAGCACCGGCUAACUACGUGCCAGCAGCCGCGGUAAUACGUAGGGUGCAAGCGUUGUCCGGAAUUACUGGGCGUAAAGAGUUCGUAGGCGGUUUGUCGCGUCGUUUGUGAAAACCAGCAGCUCAACUGCUGGCUUGCAGGCGAUACGGGCAGACUUGAGUACUGCAGGGGAGACUGGAAUUCCUGGUGUAGCGGUGAAAUGCGCAGAUAUCAGGAGGAACACCGGUGGCGAAGGCGGGUCUCUGGGCAGUAACUGACGCUGAGGAACGAAAGCGUGGGUAGCGAAAGAGA
rnacentral:rRNA from 1 species